GCGCUAAAGAAGCAAAAAGCUCGUAAAAAUAUCUAACUAUCUAUCAUGUGCGAUAGUUAUAAUUUAGUCAGCUGUCGAAUUUAUGUCAAUUAUUUGGAGAAAUAUAAGCGCUAACGACAUUCAGUUAAGAGACCAGGUGACUGCCGUUCAAACCUCUUAAGUGGCAGGCGUACCGCAGCGUGUCCAUCGUCAGCGCAUCCACCCCACCUUCCCUGAUGAUCGCUUUGUCCAUUUCCAGCAACAGAAAUGCUCUAUACUUCAAUUUGUUCUUCCUAAAUAUCGUUCUCCGUAAACCAUGCAUUUUUAACAGAUGACCCUGGAAUUUAUAUAUAGAUAUGUUGACAACUAUGGUCCAGCCCACACAGGUGGAAGCGGGGUGAAAAUACUGCGAAAUUUAAUCAAUCAAAAGUAAACCUUAACUAGUAUGGCAUACAGAUGAAAACCGCAUGCCAAAGAAGCAUGAUGACGCACCACUCGCCUAACGUCUUUAGCAUGACGUUUUUCGCCGUAGAAAUUAUAGAUAAUCAAAAACAACAUGGGUUAUAACUUGGGAAAAAUAUGAGAUUACUGACUUUGAUUUUUUUAAGUCUAGCAGGACGCUUGUCUUUUAUGUUAGGUAGAUAUGUACAGUGUGAAUUGCGGACCGUUGGUAAAGGAAUAUUAUGUGGAUUAUGUAACAAAUAUUAUUACAAGUUAUUUGGUCGCAGGUGCUGUUGCUAAGCGAGAAGUUUAGGAUUAUAUGCUCAUAUUUUUCAAUUUCUCAGUAAUAUCAUGGUACCUGACAUUGCACUCAUUGUCAGAGAGAGUAUCUCUCUCUCUCCAGGAAUUUAUGACUUGGAUUGAUACAUACAUUAGUUAUAUGGAGCAAAGCGUGCAAUAGCAUAAAACAGAUCAUCAACAACACAUAGUUAUUAUAGUUAUUAACAAUAUGUUUGGUGUUUUUACUAGUAUUCCUUAUUUACUAUUGGUAGGUAGUCUAGUAUUUGGUUUCGAUGUAAUAUAUUACACACAUGCAAUUUACACUUGUAAUAUAGAUGCAUUUACUUUCGCUUACAAAGAAUUAGCAACUAUUUAGGCAUGGCAAUAUGAAAGUAUGGGUUAAAAUACAGGUAAAUAUUUUUUUUGCAAUGUGAAUACAACAUUGAUUCACACACAAUAGGCGGAAUCAACAGAGCAUACCAAAGUUGGCAGAUAAAACAUGUUAAAAAUACAAAGAGGAUAAAAACAUAAUCAUCACACAUAAUUGUAUAAAGUAGCACUACUUUAUAUGUAGUGUAUGAUGAUUAUAUCUUAUAUGAUUAUCUUAUGAUUAGUCUUGUAUAUCAAAUAUUCUCAACAAAAGGGUUAUUUCAAUGUGCAAGCU